rnacentral:rRNA from 1 species
AGAGUUUGAUCAUGGCUCAGAACGAACGCUGGCGGCGUGGAUAAGACAUGCAAGUCGAGCGCUGAUUACAGGGUAGCAAUAUUCUGUAGUCGGAGCGGCGCAAGGGUGCGUAACACGUGGGUAAUCUGCCAUGAAGUUUGGAAUAACUUGCUGAAAGGCGAGCUAAUGCCGGAUGUGAAAACCGAGGGGCAUCUCUUGGUUUUCAAAGCUGGGGACCGUAAGGCCUGGCGCUUCAUGAUGAGCCCGCGGCCUAUCAGCUAGUUGGUGAGGUAACGGCUCACCAAGGCUAAGACGGAGCUGGUCUGAGAGGACGACCAGCCACACUGGAACUGAGACACGGUCCAGACACCUACGGGUGGCAGCAGUCGAGAAUUUUUCACAAUGGGCGAAAAGCCUGAUGGAGCGACGCCGCGUGGGGGAUGAAUGGCUUCGGCCCGUAAACCCCUGUCAUUUGUGAUCAACCGUUAUUAUUUAAAAGAUGAUAACCUGAUAGUAGCGAAAGAGGAAGGGACGGCUAACUCUGUGCCAGCAGCCGCGGUAAUACAGAGGUCCCAAGCGUUGUUCGGAUUCACUGGGCGUAAAGGGUGCGUAGGUGGCGGGGUAAGUCGGAUGUGAAAUCUCCGAGCUCAACUCGGAAACUGCAUUGGAAACUACCUUGCUCGAGGUGGAGGGGGGACUGGAAUACUUGGUGUAGCAGUGAAAUGCGUAGAUAUCAAGUGGAACACCAGUGGCGAAAGCGAGUCCCUAGACAACUCCUGACACUGAGGCACGAAAGCUAGGGGAGCAAACAGGAUUAGAUACCCUAGUAGUCC